UUGAGUUAUUCUUGAGCAAAUUUUGAUAUGUGUGCAUUCCUUAAAGUACAAAGUUGAAACAUAAAUACGAAAACUCGUGGGGCACCAAGGCUGCGAAGAGCGCUGCCUUGAAAACAAAUACAGUGCUCGAAAAUUGCUUGCCGAUCCAACCAUCCCGCUACUUCCGCUCGCUUUGACACACAAACACACCCAACAGCGAGUCCGAAAGUAUACGGGCACUGCAUCGACGAGUGAGGGAGAAGUGAUCGAGUUGCCGUCCGGAGUACAUCGUGUGGUGUUCAUCUUGACACGAAAGAUUGCCGCCGGGAAAUACUUGGCUCAAAAAUCCGCAACGAAGGAAGCAAGAAGGAAAUUGAAGGUGAGUCGAAUCAGCAGCGAGAUGAAAAUACGACAUGCAGUUAUUCCUUUGCUCCAGGUGACAGACGGCUGAUUCCACACGAAAACUCCAGCGAUCACAAUCGUCCAUCGACGAGCCAUUGCGUGGACCACCUGCGGGAAGAUUUGCAACAGCGUCAAACCAGGUGUUAUUCGAUCCGCGUCACCGUUGAAUCUGUUUUGGGUUGAAGGCACGAUUUUCGUUCGAGCUGGUGGAGGUUGGAGCGAGCAAACGCCCCGUGUGGAGGUCACGCAUUUCUCACGCGGCGAAUCGGGCAGCGACAGGUCGAUUCUUCCAGAUUCGCAGAUGAAGCACGCCGAGAACCCGUUCUAGAUCGAACAGUAGUGGGUGAGUCAUAAUUCUCGCAGUACGUGAUGUGAGCUAACCAAGCAUUUUCCUCACAGAUCACCAAACAAACAUCUCCAGACUGACGACAUCGCUCGCCGGAUUGGCCUACGGUGUAUCUCAGAAGCCGAGUAAAAAGCCUUCCAGAAGAGGAGUAAGUACACCACCUAGGCGUUUGAAGAGUACCUCGAUCCUAAUUCGAAAACGUGCUAGGGCUUUUUUAUUCACAGCCUACAAUUCAGAACAGCUGCCAGUGCCCCGUAUUGGAUCUCAAGCGAUUCGGCAUCCAACGCCGGAAGGGUUUUCACCGGGCGAGGGGUCUGCUGGAUCCGGAAUCAGAAGAGAGGAGCCUGGAAACCAUCCCUCGAAAUCCCUGGUCACGACAGCAGCCGUCUGUGGGAAGAAGGAGCCAAGAGGACGCGACUCCGUCCGUCCGAUUCCGUCAGUCGGCCAGUGAGCCUACGGCUGAUCUAGCCCGUCUCAGCAGCGGACAAAACGACAAAAGGAGCGGAAGACAUCAUGGGUGCACCCAGGAAAGCGCGUGAGUACCGCUAAAGAAGAAGAAACAGAAUGAAGAAGAAAGUGACGUUGAAGAAGAUGGAAGAGAUUAGAAGUUAGGAUGAGCUAGGGCAGGAAGGUAGCAAUCAAGCAUGAGGUAAUAAAGGGUUGCACACUUAGUUCAUGUA